rnacentral:rRNA from 1 species
AGCAGUAGCCGCGGGAAUACGUAGGUGGCAAGCGUUGUCCGGAAUUAUUGGGCGUAAAGGGCUCGCAGGCGGUUUCUUAAGUCUGAUGUGAAAGCCCCCGGCUCAACCGGGGAGGGUCAUUGGAAACUGGGAAACUUGAGUGCAGAAGAGGAGAGUGGAAUUCCACGUGUAGCGGUGAAAUGCGUAGAGAUGUGGGGGAACACCAGUGGCGAAGGCGACUCUCUGGUCUGUAACUGACGCUGAGGAGCGAAAGCGUGGGGAGCGAACAGGAUUAGAUACCCGGGUAGUCCCUGUCUCUUAUAA